rnacentral:lncRNA from 1 species
UUCAAUGGACUUUUUACUCCAUUUCAGUCUCCAUCUGUUACUGCUUCCUCUCUGUGAGCAAGAAUCAGAGUCUUCACAGAGAAUAAAGCAUAAGAAUUAUGAAACAGCUAUCCUGGGAAGAAACGUUACCAUCUUCUGCAAUAUGACCAGUUUGGCUGAUGUUUUGCAAGUUACCUGGCAGAAAAUCCAAGACUCUUCACCUCACAAUAUUGGCACUUACAGUCACAAAUAUGGAGAAAGGAUUCUCCCACCAUACGUAAACAGGCUGCGGUGUAAGUUGCUGGAACCCAGUGCCUCCUUCAUGACUAUCCAAGGAGUGACAUUUGACGAUGAAGCCUGCUACAAGUGCCUGUUUAACACUUUUCCACACGUCAGCCACGGAGA